AAGCUUAAGCACGCGUCGGAUAUAUAAAUGACACUAAGUGACUAACAAGUAACAAGUAAAUCUUAUAAUGAGUUUUAAAUUGAAAUCGUUUGCAAAAUCUGGAUGACGUAUGACGUUUAUGCAGUUAUUGUUAAUAUCAUUCUGAAUAUUAAGAAAAAUCUGAUACUUCGUGGACAACAAAGUCGUAUGGGUUUGGAAAUCCGAGCUUUUAGACCAUGCUGCAUGUAAUAUCAGCGCCCGUGGGUCCACAAAGAAACUCGGCGUACGAUAGUCCCUGUUUGUGCUCUGGAUGUGGUGCAUCACGAAAGCGUGAGAGAGAAUGCUGUACGAGUGCGUUGCAAUUUUAAUCAUAUCCCUGACUGUGGCUGGAUAUUUGGCACACAGCAGCUAUUUCUCGUCUUACCCUUUUUUAUCGGAACCUCUGGAGCAUCCUAUAAACGGCACAACCGACUUUGACCAAAAUCUGGAAGCCGCAAUCGAGAAUGCAAGAAAUACCAUACCUCGACCAACUGAACGAACCGCUCUUCCGAUCAAUUCCAACCACACCGCCCAACCAUUACUGGAGAUCGGCAACAUUCUGAAGAUUGUGACGGAUCCGGAGGAUUCUGGAGAUGGGGAAGGUUCCUGGUUAUCUACUCUCGAUUCCUGCCUGAAAAGUCUCGUGUGGGUCGCUGCUGGAGCAUGUGUACGGGCCAUAUUCGGGCCAUCAUUUGUUGAUUUUUUAGUUAAACUUGGUGUAGUGAGUGCCGUUGCAGGCGCAUUAUACUUGCUGUACUACCGCUGCACAUUGAUUUUAAUUUUUGGACGUGGCCUUAUGCAAUGUGAAUGCAAUUGCACAGAGCCGGGGAAUUCUUAUUCUCUGUAGGGUUGUCUACAAGCCGCAUUUUUUGUUUCCCCUUUUGGUGAAAAAAAAUCAAGAAAGAUGAAAAU